rnacentral:rRNA from 1 species
CGUAGGGGGCAAGCGUUGUCCGGAAUCAUUGGGCGUAAAGCGCGCGUAGGCGGCCCGGUAAGUCCGCUCUGAAAGUCCAAGGCUCAACCUUGGGAUGCGGGUGGAUACUGCCGGGCUAGAGUCCGGAAGAGGCGAGUGGAAUUCCUGGUGUAGCGGUGGAAUGCGCAGAUAUCAGGAGGAACACCGAUAGCGAAGGCAGCUCGCUGGGACGGUACUGACGCUAAGGCGCGAAAGCGUGGGGAGCGAACAGGAUUAGAUACCCUGGUAGUCCACGCCGUAAACGAUGGGCAUUAGGUGUGGGAGGUGUCGACUCCUCCCGUGCCGGCGCUAACGCAUUAAAUGCCCCGCCUGGGGAGUACGGCCGCAAGGCUA